rfam:Corynebacterium phocae strain M408/89/1, complete genome.
ACUCGAGCACGAUCUUCUGCUUGAAUUUUCGGUUGGAUCACUUAAGGUGUUGCCCAAUUUUGGUGGCGUAGUUCCCGGUGGCCGGCCGUUGUGUUCAAUAAGCUAGAAGAACCGACUCGAAGUUCAACCCUGAGGGA